rnacentral:rRNA from 1 species
CUACGGGGGGCACCAGUCGAGAAUCUUCGGCAAUGGACGCAAGUCCGACCGAGCGACGCCGCGUGCGGGAUGAAGGCCUUCGGGUUGUAAACCGCUGUCAGUGGGGAGGAAAUCCAGGGGAGUUAUCUCUUCUGGUUGACCUAUCUUCAGAGGAAGUGCGGGCUAAGUUCGUGCCAGCAGCCGCGGUAAGACGAACCGCACGAACGUUAUUCGGAAUCACUGGGCUUAAAGGGUGCGUAGGCGGCCGUGCAAGUUGGGUGUGAAAUCCCUCGGCAGAACCGGGGAAUGGCGCUCAAAACUGCUCGGCUCGAGGGAGACAGAGGUGAGCGGAACUUAGGGUGGAGCGGUGAAAUGCGUUGAUAUCCUGAGGAACACCAGUUGCGAAAGCGGCUCACUGGGUCUCUUCUGACGCUGAGGCACGAAAGCCAGGGGAGCGAACGGGAUUAGAUACCCCUGUAGUC